CAGACUCCAGGACCCAGAAGCCUCAGCGUGGCCCAGUCCCUGCGCGCGGUGCAUUCACAGUUCACAAGCAUCUCGACCUAAAUGCGAUGUGACGGGAGAACCUUUACUGAAACAAACGGGAAUAUAGUAUCAGAGAAGGCUGACCGAGCUGUGAACCGGAGCCCUAACACGGAGCAAAUUAACAUCAGCAAAAAAUAGCUCUCCGUUUUCAGAUCGCUUAUGUGCCAGGCAGAGGGGGCAUCACAGCGCUGUCAGGUCAUUUCAGCCCCCAGAUGUCUGCACCAGGGGCUGAUGGGAAAGAAGAGGGGCUUCCUACGGCUGAACUAUGACCACUGAUCUGGACUAGUUCCUGAGCAGGUGUUUGCGCUCACAUGGCUGGAAAUGCAGAGAAAACCCAAACAUGCCACAAGGGAUCGCCGUUGACUCCUAUGUGCCCUGCUGUUGGCUGACCUCCAACCAUCCAUAGGAGGAGCGGUGCACGGGGAGGACGGCAGAGCCCACUGCAGGUCACGCCAGAGGAGGUUGUUUCAGCUGAACUGUGAGAAUUCAGAUCAGGAUCAGAAGAACGUGUGAUUGUGCGAUGCUGUUAGAACCUCAGGGGUGAAGAAGCACAAAGGGGAGGUAAAAGGAGACCCCUACAGCAGCAGUAGGAGGACCAGAGACGCU